rnacentral:rRNA from 1 species
UACAGAGGUCUCAAGCGUUGUUCGGAUUCAUUGGGCGUAAAGGGUGCGUAGGCGGCGCGGUAAGUCGGGUGUGAAAUCUUGGAGCUUAACUCCGAAACUGCAUUCGAUACUGCCGUGCUUGAGGACUGGAGAGGAGACUGGAAUUUACGGUGUAGCGGUGAAAUGCGUAGAUAUCGUAAGGAAGACCAGUGGCGAAGGCGGCAUCCUGGACUGGUCCUGACACUCAGGAGCGAAAGCGUGGGGAGCGAUCCGG